GACGAACCGUGCGAACGUUAUUCGGAAUCACUGGGCUUAAAGCGCGUGUAGGCGGGCCGGCACGUCGAUGGUUGAAAUCCCCCCAGCUCAACUGGGGAACAGGCCUCGAUACGACCGGCCUCGAGGGGGGUAGGGGGGAGCCGGAACUUCCGGUGGAGCGGUGAAAUGCGUUGAGAUCGGAAGGAACACCAGUGGCGAAAGCGGCUUCCUGGUCCAGCACCGACGUUCAGGCACGAAAGCGUGGGGAGCAAACAGG
rnacentral:rRNA from 1 species